CGUAGGUGGCAAGCGUUGUCCGGAAUUAUUGGGCGUAAAGGGCGCGUAGGCGGUACCCUAAGUCAGAUGUGAAAACCCGAGGCUUAACUUCGGAGGUGCAUUUGAAACUGGGGAACUAGAGUGCAGGAGAGGUAAGUGGAAUUCCUAGUGUAGCGGUGAAAUGCGUAGAUAUUAGGAGGAACACCAGUGGCGAAGGCGACUUACUGGACUGUAACUGACGCUGAGGCGCGAAAGCGUGGGGAGCAAACAGGAUUAGAUACCCUGGUAGUCCACGCUGUAAACGAUGGAUACUAGGUGUGGGAGGUAUCGACCCCUUCCGUGCCGCAGUAAACGCAAAUAAGUAUCCCGCCUGGGGAGUACGGCCGCAAGGUUG
rnacentral:rRNA from 1 species